UGAGGAAUCUUGCGCAAUGGGGGAAACCCUGACGCAGCAACGCCGCGUGGAGGAUGAAGGUCUUCGGAUUGUAAACUCCUGUCAGAGGGGACGAAUGGCUGCGGGCUAAUCACCGCAGUCUUGACGGUACCCUCAGAGGAAGCCACGGCUAACUCUGUGCCAGCAGCCGCGGUAAUACAGAGGUGGCAAGCGUUAUUCGGAAUUAUUGGGCGUAAAGGGCGCGUAGGCGGCCAAGCAAGUCCCGGGUGAAAUCCCUCGGCUCAACCGAGGAACUGCCUUGGAAACUGCUUGGCUUGAGGCCGGGAGAGGGUAGUGGAAUUCCCAGUGUAGCGGUGAAAUGCGUAGAUACUGGGAGGAACACCGGUGGCGAAGGCGGCUACCUGGACCGGUUCUGACGCUG
rnacentral:rRNA from 1 species